UACGAAGGGUGCAAGCGUUACUCGGAAUUACUGGGCGUAAAGCGUGCGUAGGCGGUUUGUUAAGUCCGCUGUGAAAGCCCUGGGCUCAACCUGGGAAUUGCAGUGGAUACUGGCAAGCUAGAGUGCGGUAGAGGAUGGUGGAAUUCCCGGUGUAGCGGUGAAAUGCGUAGAGAUCGGGAGGAACACCCGUGGCGAAGGCGGCCAUCUGGACCAGCACUGACGCUGGGGCACGAAAGCGUGGGGAGCAAACAGG
rnacentral:rRNA from 1 species